rnacentral:misc_RNA from 1 species
UAUUUCGCCGCCAUUGUGGAUCAACGAAAAUUGAUUCUUUUCCCCCUCAGCAAUAAUAAGUACAAGGGUUUGGCCCUUCGAAUGCUAGCAAAGUGCGUAGUUUUAUAGAAGAGUCCAAGAAAUUUCCCUUCGAACGAUUUUUUUUCGCAAGUCGAAGAAGCGAAAAAUCACGAUCGACAAUUCACAUGGUCAAAACUAAACCACAAUAUUUUACCAACGGUAUUAGAUAGUUUUACUUUGUUUACAAGUUAAAAAUUCAUACGACUACAGAAAAAGAAGAAAUGCUGGUUGGAAGAACCGUUUGAGUGAGUAACUAGUAAAAAGAUGUCGUCGUGUGAAGUGAUGUCUUCACGAAUGGAGCAGUUUUCAAAGGACAAUUCAAUUACAAGUAAACUUGCCGACGACCUAGACGCUAAACUAUCCACUUCUUCCAAGCAAGUGCUUCUGCAGCGUAUCGAAUUCAAGGCGGCUUCAAAGCCAGACGAACAAUACGAGAGAUUGAAACAUAAAUAUCAACCCUUGAACUCAUCAACUUCACACGUGAAUCAAGGUUUUGUAAACAAUGGUCACGAUAAUUCAACUCCCGACAACGAAGAUUUUCCUGAACCAAAGCGCAUUUUGUGUUCUGAAGACAAGGUUAACGUUCAGUGGGAGAAAAUGAGGCGAGUUGGUCCUGGUUUAAGUAAUUUGGGGAACACAUGUUACUUGAACUCUGUUCUCCAAGUGUUGACUUACACUGCCCCCCUGGUGAAUUUUUUGUCAACACAGGAACACGCCAAGGAAUGCAGGGCUGUUGGAUUUUGUAUGAUGUGUGAAUUGCAGCGUCAUGUCUUAAGGACAUUUAAUCAUCACCAAAAUGAAUCCAUCAAACCACUUGCUAUCAUACAAAAGCUUCGAAAUAUUGCAAAGCAUUUAAGAUUUGGCCAUCAAGAAGAUGCUCACGAGUUUCUGCGAUAUGUCAUUGAUGGUUUACAGAAAAGUACUCUCAAUGGCUUACCUGAAAAACUUGAUAGGGCAACCAGAGAAACAACGCUCAUCCAUAGAAUAUUUGGUGGCUACUAUAGAAGCCAAGUUCGAUGUCUAAUGUGCCAAAAUACAUCAAACACCUUUGAUCCAUUGAUGGAAAUCAUGCUUGAUAUUAAGCAUUCCCCAUCUGUUAUCCGUGCACUGCAACGUUCAUGCAAGCCAGAUCGUCUUGACGGAGACAACUCAUAUUACUGCUUAAAGUGCAAAAAGAAGGUCCCUGCACAUAAGCAAGUAUUAAUACAUCGACAUCCAAGUAUUCUUACUCUUCAGCUGAAAAGGUUCGACUCCAAUCACAUAUUUGGUGGUAAAGUAACAAAAGAGGUUCAAUAUACUGAAUACCUUGACCUGAGGCCCUUCAUGACCAAUGCAAAGGGUUCACCUCUAAGGUACAGACUGUAUGCUGUAUUAGUUCAUUCUGGUUACUCAAGCAAUUCUGGACAUUACUACUGUUAUGUUAGAGCAUCCAACAACUGCUGGUACAAUAUGAAUGAUUCUGUGGUUCGGCAAGUCAGUCUCAGCAAUGUUCUCUCUCAACAAGCGUACCUCUUGUUUUACUCCAAGGUUUCCCAAAGUACAGCAGAGCAGGAAAAGAAACCAUUUUCUCCAAUAGCCACAAAGCCAUCAGGUUUUCAGAGUGGAACCUCUUUUCCAAAAAUCAUCAAAGAAAAUGAUGUUGGUACUCCAGUUGCACGUAAUGGCAUCCAGUCCAAAGGUAUUUCCACACCAACUUCAACCAUUACCAAGGCAACGGUGACCACACCCAACAGCCCAUCAGUCAUCCCUGUCGGUCAAAGACAGAAACUCAGUUUUACGCUGAAAACCUCAACUAAGGUUUCUGCACAGCCCACGAAAGUUAAAGAAGCAUCAAAACACUUGGAUGGCAAAAUGCAAGAGGAGGUACCCAAAAACCUAGGUGUCGUGUCGACCAAGAGUGAUAAGUCAAAGGAUGGUCCUUUGAGUUCUACAGAAUCUUCUGUCACUACAAAACAAGAACAGAAUAAAGAGGAUAAUAAAGAAAUCCCAGGGACGAAGGCACAUUUAAAACCACCAGAGCCUGUUGAAGUAAGCUUUCCUGUCAGAAAAGAUGCAAAAGAUCAAUCACCUACCAAGAAGACAAGACCAACACCGCUGUUUAUUCCAAGGAGUGUGCAAGCCAAGGAUGUGAUGAAAGAAUCCAAAUCGACUCCAAAUCAAAGUACAAGUGAUACUUGUAUGACAUCACCAGCCAAGGCAACGACCCCUUGGAAGGUCACGCCCAUGCCACCUCAGUUCAACAAUAACCACAUAUAUGGACCAAUGUCCCCACCCCCCAAGGGCACACCUAUUCCUCAGCCAUCUCCUUCAUCUCUUAAGUCAGAUGCUAGCAGCACCUCGAGCAUUAUGGGUAAAACAGGGGACUGGGCUGUCAAGGACAAAAAGCUGCCGACUCCUGGUCCAAAACUUCCUGAGCGACAACAUGCGGGUUGGACCGUGAGUGAGAAGUCUGGUACCGAAACAAGUACAGAAAAUAAUGAUGAUGUAAGAGACGACGAAGACUGGGUUGAACGUUCUCCCGAGGACAAAAGAAAUGCGAAGAAGAAGAGAAAAAAGGAAAAAAGAAAAACGAAAGAGAAAAAUCAAAAAUUAGAAUCCGAAACCAACAAAGAGGAAGAUAAGAAAGAAAGCAAGGAAAACACAGAGAAAAAGAAGAAAAAGCAGAAACACAAAAAGAAGAAGAAGAAAGAAAAAUCUAAGGAAAAGAAAGAGCUUUUGGGAGAAGAACCAUCUUCGGAUGAGAAAGAGAAAAACAAAAAGCACAAAAAGAAAAGCGAAGAGGAUUCAAAGGAAAANCCACGAAAACUGGUAGAUUACAGCAGCGAUGAGAGCUCUCAUUCAUCCAGUCAACAUGAGAAUGCGAAGAAAGAUCAUAACCAAAAUGAAAAAAGCUUUCCCAAGAAAGAGAAAAAAAGAGGUUCCAGUAGUAGUUUAUGACGGAGAUCGACAGGAUAAACCCAGAAGAACCACGUGGGAUGGAUCACGUGAUACUUCAACUGUCAAUCAACUUGAGCGUGGCAAGGGAUUGGCUGGUUAUGGUGCAAAUGUAUCAUCAUGGGAAGGAGGCCAGAGUCACGUGGAUAGUUAUGAUAACGGUGAUAACUCAGGCGGAAGCAGAAAAAGACGGCAUGAUUCCUGGGACGAAGAGUUGGAUAAAGGAAAG